rnacentral:rRNA from 1 species
UGCUACGGCCGCGUGGUGCGUUGGUACCCCGAUCCCUCGACCUCGGAAGUUAAGCAAAGCGCGGUCCGGACAGUUCUUGGAUGAGGGACCACCCAAGGACGACCGGAUUGCUGUAGCCG